rnacentral:rRNA from 1 species
UACGUAGGGGGGCUAGCGUUGUCCGGAAUCAUUGGGCGUAAAGCGCGUGUAGGCGGUCCGGUAAGUCCGCUGUGAAAGUCGGGGGCUCAACCCUCGAAUGCCGGUGGAUACUGUCGGGCUAGAGUGCGGAAGAGGCGAGUGGAAUUCCUGGUGUAGCGGUGAAAUGCGUAGAUAUCGAGAGGAACACCUGCGGCGAAGGCGGGUUGCUGGGCUGAUACUGACGCUGAGGCGCGAAAGCCAGGGGAGCGAACGGG